rnacentral:rRNA from 1 species
UACAGAGGCCCCAAGCAUUAUCCGGAAUCACUGGGCGUAAAGGGUGUGUAGGCGGUUGUAUUAGUCUUUCGUAAAAGCUCUCGGGCCUAACCCGGGGAAUGCGGCAGAAACGGUACAACUUCGAGGAUGCGAGAGGUAUAUGGAACCCAUGGUGUAGGGGUGAAAUCCGUUGAUAUCAUGGGGAACACCAAAUGCGAAGGCAAUAUACUGGCGCACUCCUGACGCUGAAACACGAAAGCGUGGGAAUCGAACGGG